rnacentral:snRNA from 1 species
GUGCUCGCUUCGGCAGCACAUAUACUAAGGUUGGAACGAUACAGAGAAGAUUAGCAUGGCCCCUGCGCAAGCAUUCCAUAUUUAAAAAAAAAAAAAGAAAGAAAGAA